UACGAAGGGGGCUAGCGUUGCUCGGAAUUACUGGGCGUAAAGCGCACGUAGGCGGAUCGUUAAGUCGGGGGUGAAAUCCUGGAGCUCAACUCCAGAACUGCCUUCGAUACUGGCGAUCUCGAGUUCGGGAGAGGUGAGUGGAACUGCGAGUGUAGAGGUGAAAUUCGUAGAUAUUCGCAAGAACACCAGUGGCGAAGGCGGCUCACUGGCCCGAUACUGACGCUGAGGCACGAAAGCGUGGGGAGCAAACAGG
rnacentral:rRNA from 1 species